rnacentral:lncRNA from 1 species
AAUAUGAAAACAAUAGCAACGACGUGCCAAGCCUGGCUGCCUCUUCGAGUGCACACAGCAGCCCAGUCAGAUCCGUGUACUUAGUAAUUAUUGGAAGCACUUAACUCAUCUGUAAGGACCUACAAAAUGGUGGCCCCGAUGGUGGUGACGAUGUCGAAGAGGAGGACCAUGAUGAUGGUCUGCCCCAUCUUCUUCCAGGCAGCCUGUGAGACAUUCGAUGUGCGAGGCAAGCACCGCGUUCAGAUCCCCAAGCUCUACACCUCCAAUGUGACCUGGGACCCUCACCACUACAGGCUCGUGCGGGACUCACAGCCUCUGGACCUCAACAAAGGUACCUGCUGGGCUUGCGGCCCUUCCUGCUGGGAUGGCGGUCUCUGAUGCUGGAGUCUGUGCUCGAGGAGACCACUAGGACCCUCUGAAUGGAGGCAGCUGGCCUAGGGAUUCCAGGCCUCUCCCUCUUGUUGCAGCCGAGAGCCUGCUGGGGUGCAGGACUGGAGAGCUUGCUUCAUCUCUGAGGAAGCCUGUUCCAGGAGGAAGCCCUGGGAGGGUGACAGAAAGGGGAGCCAGUGCCAACUGAGGGCCUCCUGUGUGCCAGGCACUGUGCUGGGCUUCUCACCCACGCCACUCUAAGUGACCCUGACACUCAUCUUGUAAGAAGGGCACAAAGACCAGGGCUCCUGGCUGGCUCAGUUGGUAGGGCAUCUGAUGCUUGAUCUCUGGGUUGUGAGUUCGAGCCCCAUGUUAGGUGUGGAGGUGACUUAAAAAACAAAAUACGACGGGCACAAAGACACUGAAGUUUGGGGAGGUGAAGCAAGUUGCUAGCAUGUGGCCAGGCUGGGAUUUGAGCCCCAGCCGUCCAGUUCUGACAGCAGCCAAGUAUUAAAAACCACAUCUUGUAGAAGCAGUCCCAGGCUGCCGUCCGUGAACUCUUGAUGGUGCCUUCUUGACGCUGUGCCUCUGUGAUUCCUCUUUUCUUGUACCAUGAGUACAGUAGCCCUGUAGGUUCCUGCAUGUUUAGGACACCCCUGGCUUCAGCUAUGCUCUCCUGCAGAUACCAGGCUAUGGAGAUGGCCUAGAAAUCCCCAACUUUGGGCACCUCAUGCAUUUCCCAGCGCUUAGCAGCACAGCUACCCUCUGUCAAACCAAGGGUCUUUAUUUGUGAUUCAGAAACAGCAGGGAAAAAGAAAGGACAGAAAACCCCCCUGCCAUCACAGCGGGACACCCCAAGGGUAGUGUCCAGGGAUAACUGACUCAAAUACAUGGAGGCUGCCCCCACCAACACUUAAGAGACACUUUGCCAUUUUUUCCUCUCUGUCCCCCACAGCCCUCAGCAGUAUGCACGCCAAGAACGUGUUCACCAUGAGGCUCAAAUCACAGCGGAAUCUCCAGAGUGCGAAAUCCAGGUAAGGGAGACUGCAUUCCUGCUUGAGUGAUGACCCACAAAUUUAAUUUAAUGAAGGGAAGACCAGAGCAAGUCAGUCUUUGAAAGGAGAGAAGCGUCCACUGGUAAUAGCAACGAUGACUUUGUCGGGACCAGCUUGACCGGUAACGCCUGUGACCUCCAUCGCCUCUAGGUCUGGUCUCCAUUAACCAUGGGCCAGUUUCCCAGCUUGACAACUAGGCACCUGCUCUACCAACCUGUCCUUUGUCACUAAACCCUUUCACCAAAGGUGGAGGGCAAGAGA